rnacentral:rRNA from 1 species
GGUAAGGACGGGCAAGAGGCGGGGGGAAGUCGUAGGUGGUGGGCGUUGUCCGGAAUUAAGGGGGGUAAAGGGGGUGUAGGCGGGGAUGUAAGUCAGAUGUGAAAUUCCACGGCUUAACUGUGGCGCUGCAUCUGAAACUAUGUCUCUUGAGUGCUGGAGAGGAAAGCGGAAUUCCAAGUGUAGCGGUGAAAUGCAUAGAUAUUUGGAGGAACACCAGUGGCGAAGGCGGCUUUCUGGACAGUAACUGACGCUGAGGCGCGAAAGCGUGGGGAGCAAACAGGAUUAGAUACCCUGGUAGUC